rnacentral:tRNA from 1 species
GAGGCAUUAGUGUAGCAGUUAACACGGCAGUCUGUGGCACUGUCAACGAGGGUGCAAAUCCCUCAUGCCUCC